GCCAUAAACCCGUAGAUCCGAACUUGCGGUACGACUGCCUCACACAAGCUCGAGUCUGUGGGUAUGUGUC
rnacentral:pre_miRNA from 1 species